CAUAUGACGACAAGUACUAUGAUAAGAUCACAAAAAAUAAGUCCACAGUUUUAAUGUUCAGCAGUAUGAGCACCACUGGCAGUUUAUUGACAAAAGAAAACUUGCAUUCCAUCCAUUUCUAUUUAUCCCAAUUUACAAUGGAAGACAUUGGUGGUUGUGGAUUGCUGAUGUAAACAAUAAGAAAUUCUAUAUCCUUGACCCUAUCAACAAGAAGCCAAAAGAAAUACCUGAUUCGUGAUAGGAAAUAAACAAAUUUGUUAGUUUAAUAAUUUCCCAGAUAAGGGUGUACGCUGGGGCGGAACCCUUAAUAAAAGAUCCACUGGGAGAGGAAGCAGAGUAUAUCCCAUUGAAUGGUCAACGUACAAGGUAAGA